GCAGGCUGGAACAUGAUUCCUUCCGCAGUGUACACUUAUCGAAGCCUAUGCAGCCACGCAAGUGGUAGGUCCAGACGACUCUAAACAAGUUGGUGCCGCGAUGCAAGUCCACCGGGGUGGGCGACACUUUUGAAUUGACGGGGACACCCUAAAGCCGAUCGCACCAACCUGUGUCGGGAAACCGCACGGGGGCCCAUGGGAAAUACAUGGGGAAAGGUAACAGACGAUCCGGAUAGUUCUGCUUCAGGCAGAGAUCAUGGGCAAUCCGCAGCUAAGCUCCUACGGCCUCCGCGGCUACGGAGAAAGUCCACAGACUAAGUGGAAGUGGGUAGGAUGACUAAUCCUGCUUAAGAUAUAGUCGGGCCGCCCGGGAAAUCGGGUGGGCAAGUACACUGUAUGGGUUUCUACUGAGAGGUGCGACUUCCCAUCUUGACAGUCGAAUUGGCAGGUACCUGUCCGAGUACCGUCCCGCCCCUGGCUCCCACCGGGUUAGGGCUACUCGGACACGUGACUUCUU
rnacentral:rRNA from 1 species